AAUCCUGGCUCAGGACGAACGCUGGCGGCGUGCCUAAUACAUGCAAGUAGAACGCUNAAGGAGGAGCUUGCUUCUCUGGAUGAGUUGCGAACGGGUGAGUAACGCGUAGGUAACCUGCCUGGUAGCGGGGGAUAACUAUUGGAAACGAUAGCUAAUACCGCAUAACAGUAGAUGUUGCAUGACAUUUGCUUAAAAGGUGCAAUUGCAUCACUACCAGAUGGACCUGCGUUGUA
rnacentral:rRNA from 1 species